GAAUCCAAGAAUUUCACCUCUGACAGCGAAAUACGAAUGCCCCCGACCGUCCCUAUUAGCCAUUACCAACGGUAUACAGGCCAACAAGAUAGACCAUCGGUCAUGUCGUGUUAUCCCAUGCUAGUGUAUUCAGAGCGCAUGCUUGCUUUGAACACUCUAUUUUAUUCAAAGUAACCUUGCUGGGCUCCGUUCGCGGCGAGCAAACGCCGGAUACGGCACCCAGCAGAAAGGCAGCCCACGACAGUACUCACCAUCAGGCGGACCGUCAGGGAUACCCGAGGUUCAGCUACGGGCUUUUUAAUCGCAACAACUUACAUAUACGCUAUUGGAGCUGGAAUUACCGCU
rnacentral:misc_RNA from 1 species